rnacentral:tRNA from 1 species
GCCCAUGUGGUGGAAUGGUAGACACGACGGACUUAAAAUCCGUUGGCCGUAUGGCCAUGGGAGUUCGACUCUCCCCAUGGGCA